rnacentral:rRNA from 1 species
UACGUAGGGUGCAGGCGUUAAUCGGAAUUACUGGGCGUAAAGCGUGCGCAGGCGGUCUUUUUAAGUCAGAUGUGAAAUCCCCGGGCUUAACCUGGGAACUGCGUUUGAAACUGGAAGGCUAGAGUGUGGCAGAGGGGGGGUGGAAUUCCACGUGUAGCAGUGAAAUGCGUAGAGAUGUGGAGGAACACCGAUGGCGAAGGCAGCCCCCUGGGCUAACACUGACGCUCAUGCACGAAAGCGUGGGGAGCAAACAGG